rnacentral:tRNA from 2 species
CAAACUGGAGCUUGAUAAAGCAUUUUAUUUACAUUAAAAGGAUAUUGAUUAGUCAAUUGGUUUGA